AAGUUAAAUGAAAAAUGGAUUGUGGAUUAUAGCCUGAGCAGAUUUGAGCCUAAAUGUAAUAUAACAACUUGUGGCAAAUGGAGGUGGCAGGAGAGUAGAGUCAACUAGCCAAAAAUCCCCUGGAAAGAAGAACCUCACAUACUUCCGGAAAACUGCAUGAAAAGUACAGAAAUUCAGUGUCCAGAUGUUUCAGAAUCCAGAUGGCCUAAGAAUCCUCUAUCACCCAGAAAGGAGGAAAAUGUGCAUGAAAGUGGAACAUUUAAAAGAAAAAAUAAUUUAGCUUUGGCUAUGUAGUGACAACAUACAGAGCUCGAGAAAAAGCUUCUUCUCCUAAAGCAGCAACUUAAUAAAAGGCAUGUUAUAGGCUUUAUCAAUAAGCCAAAAUUUCAGCCUUGCCUCUUCUUCCCAUUGCCAUUAAGAGGCUUGCAGAGGUCCACACUCUUUAAAGGGCAGACAGCAUGGAAGAACUAUCAUGUACAAUUUAAAGUAGCAGCUAAAAUUGGAAUGGUCACGAGAAAGCCUGUUUCUUUGCAAUUAAAUUGACAAGCUGUCUAUGAUUACCCUAGGGAACUUGGCAGCUGAGUGAUAAAAAGACUGCAGUGUGUUGAAAGGUCUAAUGCAACUUACUAGGUGGACAAAGACCACAUCUGCUUAAUAUACUGAUUGGGAGAGUUGUGGAAUGUACUUGGCUAUAUUAGCUGAGGAGAGAUGCUAAGGACACUUUUUCUUCUCUAAGACCCUGCUUAGAACCCAUUUUAGAAACUACCCACAAAUAUUUGGAAGCAUGUAUGAAAAAACAGUUUAGCACAAUAUCUGAUGUUAUUCAGCAUGA
rnacentral:lncRNA from 1 species